rnacentral:rRNA from 1 species
UACGUAGGGUGCGAGCGUUGUCCGGAUUUAUUGGGCGUAAAGAGCUCGUAGGCGGCUUGUUGCGUCGACUGUGAAAACCCGCGGCUUAACUGCGGGCUUGCAGUUGAUACGGGCAGGCUAGAGUUUGGUAGGGGAGACUGGAAUUCCUGGUGUAGCGGUGAAAUGCGCAGAUAUCAGGAGGAACACCGAUGGCGAAGGCAGGUCUCUGGGCCACUACUGACGCUGAGAAGCGAAAGCAUGGGGAGCGAACGGG